GACGAACCGUACGAACGUUAUUCGGAAUUACUGGGCGUAAAGGGCUCGUAGGCGGCCAACUAAGUAACACGUGAAAUCCCCAGGCUUAACCUGGGAACUGCGUGUGAUACUGGAUGGCUUGAAUUCGGGAGAGGGAUGCAGAAUUCCAGGUGUAGCGGUGAAAUGCGUAGAUAUCAGGAGGAACACCGGUGGCGAAGGCGGGUCUCUGGGCCGUAACUGACGCUGAGGAGCGAAAGCAUGGGGAGCGAACAGG
rnacentral:rRNA from 1 species